rnacentral:rRNA from 1 species
UACGUAGGCAGCAAGCGUUGUCCGGAAUCAUUGGGCGUAAAGCGCGCGUAGGUGGCCUCGUAAGUCCGCUGUGAAAGUCAAAGGCUCAACCUUUGAAAGCCGGUGGAUACUGUGGGGCUAGAGUACGGAAGAGGCGAGUGGAAUUCCUGGUGUAGCGGUGGAAUGCGCAGAUAUCAGGAGGAACACCAAUAGCGAAGGCAGCUCGCUGGGACGUUACUGACACUGAGGCGCGAAAGCGUGGGGAGCGAACAGGA